rnacentral:lncRNA from 1 species
GUAACUUAAAUGAUGAGCAUGUCAACAAAAUGAAAUCAGAUAGAGUUCCAGAUGUGGUCUUGAUUAAGAAGAGCUAUGACCGUACCAAACGCCAGCGCCGUAGAAACUGGAAACUGAAAGAGCUUGCAAGAGACAGAGAAGACAUGGACACAGAUGAUGAAAGGCAAUAUCAAGAUUUUCUUGAAGAUCUUGAAGAAGAUGAGACAAUUAGAAAAAAUGUCAACAUUUACAGAGGUUGGUGUUUUAGUAUUGAAGUCAUAUUGUAGAAAUGUAGGGUGUUUGGUGUUUUAAAACUGUUUCAUAAGUGACUUUUAUUUGUCUUAUAAACUAAUAUAGUUAGGCUUUUACCUAACAGAUAAUAAGGAGCAGUA